rnacentral:rRNA from 1 species
GCUUGUCUCAAAGAUUAAGCCAUGCAUGUCUAAGUAUAAGCCUUUAUAUGGUGAGACUGCGAAUGGCUCAUUAAAUCAGAAACUGUUUAUUUGAUAGUGCCUACUACAUGGAUACCUGUAGUAAUUCUAGAGCUAAUACAUGCAUAAAACCCUAACUUCUGGAAAGGGUGUAUUUAUUAGAUGGAAACCAAUGCGGGGUAACCCGGAAUAUGGUGAUUCAUAAUAACUUUCGGAUCGAUUUAUCGAUGCAUCAUUCAAGUUUCUGCCCUAUCAGCUUUGGAUGGUAGGGUAUUGGCCUACCAUGGCUUUAACGGGUAACGGAGAAUUAGGGUUCGAUUCCGGAGAGGGAGCCUGAGAAACGGCUACCACAUCCAAGGAAGGCAGCAGG